GCAUUAAUGGGGUAGUGGUAACCUGGGUCGUUGCCAUGCGUCUGUAGCUCGACCCGCCGGGGGUUCGAUUCCCCCUUAAUGCA